GUUAGCUGAGUCAGGGAGAGGAACUCCGACUCCGCAGACAUUGACCGUGGUCUGCUCCGCCACAAAAUGCUCUGAAACCUGGACGUGUGCAGCGCGGCGGAAGAAAAGACUCAUGGCAAAGGAUCCCCCUCUGUAGGAAGACACCACGCUUCGGCCUAAGGUGGUGAAAUGCCCUAAUGGAGGCCGUGCAUCCAUUCGCGGCCAGAGGCGGUCGAUUUUGUGGCAGGAGUACACACGCUGGGGCCAGUCUGCGCUGGAGCACGGGGUCGACUACGCAGUGGAUGUGCUGAUCCACGCGGGAGACACUGGGAAGACAGACAGCAGAAGUCCACAGUCUCCAUGAAUUGCGUGGGAAAACGAGCGGCAUGCCUGCAUACUUCCGAGGGUCGUUUU